UGGAAUGAAUUGAGACAACCUUGAAUGAAGC
rnacentral:piRNA from 1 species